rnacentral:lncRNA from 1 species
UUUUUUACAAACCCUUGUGUGGAGAUCUGACUUUCAAUAGAUCGCAGCGAGGGAGCUGCUCUGCUACGUACGAAACCCCGACCCAGAAGCAAGUCGUCUACGAAUGGUUUAGCGCCAGGCCAACCGAGGCGCCGCGGGGCUGCCGUAUCGUUCCGCCUGGGCGGGAUUCUGACUUAAGAGGCGUUCAGUCAUAAUCCCACAGAUGGUAGCUUCGCCCCAUUGGCUCCUCAGCCAAUG